rnacentral:tRNA from 3 species
GUCCCAGUGGCGCAAUCGGUUAGCGCGCGGUACUUAUAAUGCCGAGGUUGUGAGUUCGAGCCUCACCUGGGACA